UCAGUAAUCCCUAUGCUCUAGUCAUGACUCGGGCCUAGCAAUUUUCUGGGAAUUGAGAAAUGUAAAUCAAGGAUUAGAGAGGUCAAGGAGUGAGGAAACUCAAGAGUCUCAUGCUAUACUUUGAGUCUUUGAUCUUCAGAGAAUCAGGAAGGCAAGUAGACUGAUUUACAAAUGAAAGCCUGAUGCUGAUAUAUCAAUCAACACUUUGCUGGAAGAAUGUGUUAUUUUGAGGGUUUUAUGUGAGAUCUUUCUGUAAUUUUUUUUGCUGCAAACUUUUCAUUUGUAUUGAAUAUUUGGCCUCUUUUGUAGGCUCAUCUAAUGAGGUAUAAUUGAUUAGACAUUGUUGGAUAUUGUCAGUUGUUCAAAUAUAAGUUUCAAUAAUGAAUUUGAUGAGAUUUUGAUAA